rnacentral:rRNA from 1 species
UUCGCAAUGCCCGAAAGGGUGACGAAGCGACGCCGCGUGUGGGAAGAAGGCCUUCGGGUUGUAAACCACUGUCGGGAGUUAAGAAAUGCAAGAAUGUUAAUAGCGUUUUUGCUUGACUAAGGCUCCGGAGGAAGCCACGGCUAACUCUGUGCCAGCAGCCGCGGUAAUACAGAGGCGGCAAGCGUUGUUCGGAAUUAUUGGGCGUAAAGAGCACGUAGGCGGCUAUAUAAGUCGGUUGUGAAAGCCUUCCGCUCAACGGGAGAACAGCAUCCGAUACUGUAUAGCUUGAGUGUGGGAGGGGAGAGCGGAACUUCUGGUGGAGCGGUGAAAUGCGUAGAUAUCAGAAGGAACGCCGGCGGCGAAAGCGGCUCUCUGGCCCAUAACUGACGCUGAGUGUGCGAAAGCUAGGGGAGCAAACGGGAUUAGAUACCCCGGUAGUCCUAGCCGUAAACGAUGGGCACUAAGUAGAGGGGUUUU